rnacentral:sRNA from 1 species
CUGUGUUAAAUUGGAAGAUUUGGAUACUUUACAUUCUCCGGUUUGAUUUCACUGGGGGACGUUCUUACGGCGGAGUUGUGUUCCUUCAGUUUAAUCGUGGAUCUGGGAUAUUGGCAUUAUUUGCAUUCACCUGGAGUUGGAUCUCGGUAUUCAUAAGUUGUGUGCCUGUACAGUGAAGGUAUUGCGAUGUUAGUUCGUACGUGUGGUCUAGUGUCUUAAAUAGUGCGUACCAUGUUGAUUCACUAUACGUUGGAUUCUGUGUUUUAUUUCGGUAUUCAGAAGAUGUAUCCUAGUUAUAAAUUGAAAUUAUAGAUAAAUAGAAGAACAUUGUUAAUCCUAUCUGUUCUAGAAAGAUUCUCGUGUCAACUAA